rnacentral:lncRNA from 1 species
GCGCUUUAUAUUGGACAGAAAACGCAAUGGCGGGACGGACGAGUGUUGACCACCAGGAACGUGAGACGAAAAGGGUUUGUGCACGGGGUGUCAAGUGGCGUCUGUAACACCCUACGUGUAUAUGGAACUCCUUCCACCUGUUCAUCCCGAAAUACCUGGAAAUCAUCCAGUUACCGAUACUGGAGUUUACUACCAGCUUUGAGUAUUGCCUUGUGAUCUGACCUCCAAGCUCACCAUCGUAGUACACCACACACCUCUCCAUGUCACCAUGCUGUCUGCUUGGAUGUCAAGGAAUUCCUGCUACAUCAUCACAAGUUUUUAGGUCAACCUGACCUUGAGGGAUGGCAUAAUACCCCUGGCAUUGGGUUGGCGUUGCUUGGUGCCUGCAUUCACUGUUUAUACGUGUUGGCACAAGUCUUGUGGGACAAGGUUAAUGGACAGUCAAUUGGAGGGCAACUUUAGCAGAUUCAGACAGCUGACUGCAGAUCAUCAAACCCUGGAAAAUCCAUUGGACAUUGCGGUACCAAUUCCAUUAUGUGAUCAGUAAUCAUGGAUCAGACACCAUGAGAGACGAUGUACAUGUACAUGUCAUUUGGUGGACAUGGACUGCAUCCAGGUUCCCCAAUUCACUCAGUCAGUGGAACAUAUCCUCCAAAGGAAGACAGCCCCGGUGAAAUGACUCCUCGAAUGGAACUCACAGGAGACAGUCUAAUGGAACUCAUAGGAGACAGCCAGUCACACAGCAUGGAACUCAUUACUCUAGAAGGACAGAUGAACCCCUCUACAUGUAUUAAGUUUGCUGUUAAUUUCCUGCUGUUGGACUGGUCAGCCACUUUUAAAGCCCUUUGCUCUGUCCAAGACACAAGUUUUCAUUUCAAUAUUGGAUUCUGUUAAAGAUGCACAUUCGCUACAUGUACAUGUACAGUACAUGUUCAUCAGCCAAUUUGCGUUUACAUUGUAACUUUCAUCACUGCAUGACUGCUGGUACAAGACUGUAUGAAGAAAGCCUGUGACUUGGGAUAAUUGGAAAUGGCAUUUGACAUCGAGCAGUGUACAUGUACAGUAUGUACACCGCUUUCCUUUCACGAAGGAUCAGUACGUCACUGCGGACUGCUGUAAUAAGAUGCCAGGAACCAAUUGCAUCAGACAUCUAGAAUUCUACAUGGAUUGCAAUCUCAGAGCAGGUCACUGGAACUGAGUUUCAGAAAGUGACUUUUCUGGAUCCAGUUGACUUCCAACCCUGUCCCCUCAGUGCCACAUCUUUGGAUCUAAACUUGAAGUUACUUGAGGACUUGUGGACAACCUCAGCACAUGAACAAUGCUGGACACUUCUACUUGUAAAAUGAAGGACUCUGGAUAUGUUUUAAUUAUCCAAGGCACAGAAUGUGUCAUGACAUUGACAGUGUGCAAUUGGAAAGCAUUUAACCAGCCCCCCUGCAGAAUAUCUGAUCUCAAAAAAAUUGAAAUUUGUUGAAAUUUGAUAUUUACUUGUCGGUAAAAGUGAAGAUGUUUUUAAUAAGUUUAAUUUUCAGUUGCUAGAGAGAACAUUUGGUAAUGUAUAGAAUAACUGAAAUGCACAUAAAAGUAUUCAGAAAAUACCCAAAACUCUUCUGAAAAUUUAAACAAUUUUAAUCUAAAAAGUCUGACUACUAACACAUACUGCUGCAAGGAAAUACAUGUAAGCUGAAAAAACUCCAAAUUAUUAUUUUGACACUAAUCUUUAAAACCCUGCAGCAUUCUUAUGGGGGCUGGUUACCUGAAUGGUAUUCAUUACUCUCAAUGAGUACAUUUGGCUGGUAGUAUGCCUGUUGGGGGACUGGGUACUAGAUUGGUAAACAACACUUUGUUAUCAAUGGUCAACAGUCACCACAGUGUACAAACUGUCUCUGGAGAAAAAACGCUUUUCAUUCUUGGUGUCAGACUGUGGAGUUGCACAUUGCUUCUUCAUGGGCAUUCUCUUCAAGUAUAACAACCUGAUAUUUCUAUAUUACUGUAUUGUUGAUUUUGCAAUGUUUCUCUGGUUUAUAGUUGAAAGUAUUUGAUGCACAUGAGGUGUUUCUGAGUUUCCUCAAAAAUAUACCCAAACCACAUCAUUUGAAAAUUGACAAAUUCCUCAAACAUUCAAUGUUUACCAAUCUCGUGCCCAGCAUCUUGAGUAUAAUCAGCACUGGCACACAUCCAAAUCAUGUCGUGUAAUAGUUUUAUUCUGAUUACGAAUGCUUAGUAUUCAUUUACAUGUACAGUGCGAGCAACAUCAGACCAUGAGAAGAUAGUUUACUCCUUCGAACCAUGCAUGAACCACUGAAGUGCUAGUAAAUUUAGCUUAAAGAAACUUAAACUUAUUGCUCUUACGUGUACCGGUAGGUUUUUUUCAGAGCUGCAUGCACAUUUUUUUUCUUGUUAGCCAAUACGGGCAAUUCACAAUGCAGAGCACCAACACGAAUUUGCCAUGGAGAGGCCUUUCAUCGCAGUGCAUUGUGGGAAAACAUUGACACAGGCCUAUCCACUUAUUACUGUGCUGCGGGCGUGAAAUUUGAUUUCUUCUGAAAGUUUGUCUUGUUUGAAAAGGUUUAUUCAGUGCGAGUAACACUUAUCAAAAGGGGCAUUUUCGUGAUUAAAAAAAUGCUCAGUACAUUCCAACGUACACCUUAUCGCUAUAGACCGCCAUAUUUGUGUCAAUCGAAAAGUUGAAAAAUGGCCUUCCGUUGGCAAACUUUUGGUGGUGCACUGCACUGUGAAUCGCCCGUAUUGAAAGUGCUGUGUCCACAAACUUCAGUGAAUUUCUACUCUCCAACAGUCACAAUCUCCACUCACAUCUAACUCAGUCAAAUUUAGGUGUGUGGUAAAGACAAGUCCUCUUCAGUUGAAUGCUCCAUUAACAAGAAGAUUAUUGCGUGUCACUUGAUCAGGUUUUUAUGUCUUUCAAAAUCUACCAAUAAUAUUCAAAGCAUACAUGUUCAUUAACGGUGUAUAACUG